ensembl:lncRNA
UCUCUCUCCAUGUGGCCAGCUGCUCUGCUUCAUGGCAUCUCCAUUCUGAAACCCAGGCUGGGGCAGCAGUCUCUGACCAGGACGUUUCUGUUCAUGAUGGCAGCUGGAAAGGAGAGAACUAGCUGAUAAAGAUUCUGCUUGGACAUGAUACUUGUCAUGUCCAUUCACGUUUCAAAAAGUUCUACGCUGAACAGCACUCCAGUCACAUUAUAACCAAAGCAAGCCACGUGGUCAUGGCCACCAUCAAAUGGGACAGAGGGACACAGCCCCUCCCAGGGAAGCAGAAAGUAUUUAUGAAUAAUAAUAUAAUCUCCUACAGCAGAGAAAGCUUCCUGGCAAGGAAACAAUGGAUGUGGGUCUUGAAAAACAAAUACAAUUUAAAGAAGAAGGAAAAGAAAACAUUAAUUCAGAAAGGCAGCAUAUUCUAAGAAACCCCAUUUUGCCAAAGGCACCCAGAGCUCAAAGAUGCAACCCAAGCAGUCCAAGUGAGCCACAUCCCCUGUCUCCACCCAGCGGAGCACGGAGGAGCUGGCCGAAUGGUCGACACUGACUUCUUCAGCAACUUCUCGUGCAGUUGUAAGAGGAUCAGCUUUGAUGACUGCUCUCCAUUGAUCGUUGUCAACUUCUAAUGACUAGCCACUAUGCUCCUCAACUUCAAGGCACUCGUCCCCUUUGCAAAACUUCUUGAAUCACCAGUGCACAGUACUUCAUUAGUAGUUCCUGAGCCAAAUGCAUUGUUGAUGUUGCAAGCUGUCUCUGUU